rnacentral:rRNA from 1 species
CCUUGUACACACCGCCCGUCACACCACGAAAGUUUGUUGUACCUGAAGUCGUUGGCGCCAACCGCAAGGAGGCAGACGCCCACGGUAUGACCGAUGAUUGGGGUG